rnacentral:rRNA from 1 species
GACGAGCGCUGGCGGCGUGCCUAACACAUGCAAGUCGAGCGAGUGAAUCUCCUUCGGGAGUGAAGCUAGCGGCGGACGGGUGAGUAACACGUGGGCAACCUGCCUCAUAGAGGGGAAUAGCCUUUCGAAAGGAAGAUUAAUACCGCAUGAGAUUGUAGCUUCGCAUGAAGUAGCAAUUAAAGGAGCAAUCCGCUAUGAGAUGGGCCCGCGGCGCAUUAGCUAGUUGGUGAGGUAACGGCUCACCAAGGCGACGAUGCGUAGCCGACCUGAGAGGGUGAUCGGCCACAUUGGGACUGAGACACGGCCCAGACUCCUACGGGAGGCAGCAGUGGGGAAUAUUGCACAAUGGGGGAAACCCUGAUGCAGCAACGCCGCGUGAGUGAUGACGGCCUUCGGGUUGUAAAGCUCUGUCUUCAGGGACGAUAAUGACGGUACCCGAAGAAUAAGUCCCGGCUAACUUCGUGCCAGCCGCCGCAGUAA